GAUGAACGCUGGCGGCGUGCCUAAUACAUGCAAGUCGAGCGAACGGACGAGAAGCUUGCUUCUCUGAUGUUAGCGGCGGACGGGUGAGUAACACGUGGAUAACCUACCUAUAAGACUGGGAUAACUUCGGGAAACCGGAGCUAAUACCGGAUAAUAUUUUGAACCGCAUGGUUCAAAAGUGAAAGACGGUCUUGCUGUCACUUAUAGAUGGAUCCGCGCUGCAUUAGCUAGUUGGUAAGGUAACGGCUUACCAAGGCAACGAUGCAUAGCCGACCUGAGAGGGUGAUCGGCCACACUGGAACUGAGACACGGUCCAGACUCCUACGGGAGGCAGCAGUAGGGAAUCUUCCGCAAUGGGCGAAAGCCUGACGGAGCGACGCCGCGUGAGUGAUGAAGGUCUUCGGAUCGUAAAACUCUGUUAUUAGGGAAGAACAUAUGUGUAAGUAACUGUGCACAUCUUGACGGUACCUAAUCAGAAAGCCACGGCUAACUACGU
rnacentral:rRNA from 1 species